AUAUUAGACGAAAUUGGGAACGGGCCCCAAUAAUAGUUAUUAUAUUCUCUUAGAGAAUAUAAAACGUCAAUGGUUCGUCGUGUACGAUCCUUUUCGAGUUUCGCAGAAAAUUACGUAAGUAAGAGUUUGGAGCAUUUGUAAAAUGGGCCAACAUUUUGUUAGUAUU
ncrna:unclassified sequences OTKONC RNA